rnacentral:rRNA from 1 species
AUACGGAAGGUCCAGGCGUUAUCCGGAUUUAUUGGGUUUAAAGGGAGCGUAGGCCGUCUGUUAAGCGUGUUGUGAAAUGUAGAUGCUCAACAUCUGAAUUGCAGCGCGAACUGGCAGACUUGAGUGUGCGCAACGUAGGCGGAAUUCGUGGUGUAGCGGUGAAAUGCUUAGAUAUCACGAAGAACUCCGAUUGCGAAGGUAGCUUACGGGAGCACAACUGACGCUGAAGCUCGAAAGUGGCGGGUAUC